rnacentral:rRNA from 1 species
GAUGAACGCUGGCGGCGUGCCUAAUACAUGCAAGUAGAACGCUGAAGGAGGCGCUUGCUCUUCUGGAUGAGUUGCGAACGGGUGAGUAACGCGUAGGUAACCUGCCUGGUAGCGGGGGAUAACUCUUGGAAACGAUAGCUAAUACCGCAUGACAACAGUUAUUGCAUGAUAACUGUUUAAAAGGGGCAACUGCUCCACUACCAGAUGGACCUGCGUUGUAUUAGCUAGUUGGUGAGGUAACGGCCCACCAAGGCGACGAUACAUAGCCGACCUGAGAGGGUGAUCGGCCACACUGAGACUGAGACACGGCCCAGACUCCUACGGGAGGCAGCAGUAGGGAAGCUGAGGCAAUGGACGGAAGUCUGACCGAGCAACGCCGCGUGAGUGAAGAAGGUGUUCGGAUCGUAAAGCUCGGUUGUAAGCGAAGAACGAGUGGGAGUGUGGAAAGUUCACACUGUGACGGUAUCUUAACAGAAAGGGACGGCUAACUACGUG